rnacentral:rRNA from 1 species
UACGGGGGGAGCAAGCGUUGUUCGGAUUUACUGGGCGUAAAGGGCGCGUAGGCGGCGCAACAAGUCACUUGUGAAAUCUCCGGGCUUAACCCGGAGCGGUCAAGUGAUACUGUCGUGCUAGAGUGCGGAAGGGGCUACUGGAAUUCUCGGUGUAGCGGUGAAAUGCGUAGAUAUCGAGAGGAACAGCCUGCGGCGAAGGCGGGUAGCUGGGCCGACACUGACGGCUGAUGCGCGAAAGCCAGGGGAGCGAACGGG